AUUGAACGCUGGCGGCAUGCUUUACACAUGCAAGUCGAACGGCAGCGCGGGCUUCGGCCUGGCGGCGAGUGGCGAACGGGUGAGUAAUGCAUCGGAACGUGCCCAGUAGUGGGGGAUAGCACGGCGAAAGCCGGGUUAAUACCGCAUACGACCUGCGGGUGCAAGCGGGGGACCGAAAGGCCUCGCGCUAUUGGAGCGGCCGAUGCCGGGUUAGCUAGUUUGUGGGGUAAAGGCUUACCAAGGGGACGAUCCGUAGCUGGUCUGAGAGGAGGACCAGCCACCUUGGGACUGAGACACGGCCCAGACUCCUGAGGGAGGCAGCAGUGGGGAAUUUUGGACAAUGGGGGCAACCCUGAUCCAGCCAUGCCGCGUGCGGGAAGAAGGCCUUCGGGUUGUAAACCGCUUUUGUUCGGGAAGAAAUCCUCUGGGCUAAUACCCCGGGGGGAUGACGGUACCGGAAGAAUAAGCACCGGCUAACUACGUG
rnacentral:rRNA from 1 species